rnacentral:rRNA from 1 species
AUUGAACGCUGGCGGCAUGCCUUACACAUGCAAGUCGAACGGCAGCACGGGAGCAAUCCUGGUGGCGAGUGGCGAACGGGUGAGUAAUAUAUCGGAACGUGCCCAGUCGUGGGGAUAACGUAGCGAAAGCUACGCUAAUACCGCAUACGAUCUAUGGAUGAAAGCGGGGGAUCGCAAGACCUCGCGCGAUUGGAGCGGCCGAUAUCAGAUUAGGUAGUUGGUGAGGUAAAGGCUCACCAAGCCGACGAUCUGUAGCUGGUCUGAGAGGACGACCAGCCACACUGGGACUGAGACACGGCCCAGACUCCUACGGAGGCAGCAGUGGGGAAUUUUGGACAAUGGGACGCAAGCCUGAUCCAGCAAU